GGUAGUGGGAGGCCCGCCCUUUCCGCCCAGGGGGUGCUGCUGAGCUCACCUAAAAGGUUACCAUUGGGCAGUGCCGAAGAGGGGAGGGACAGCCGAUGCCCGCGAAGCCUGCUGAUUGGGCAAAAGGAGUGCAGCUGUGGUAUUUGAAGUAACAUAGAAGCGGGCUCCUAAAGGGGCGGAAGCGUAAUGUUUCUCUACAUCACCUGGUGAUGAAUUUUUAUCCCAGUUCUUCCUCUCUGGGCGAAGAUAAACUUGUGGUGUAGGCUUAGAUUUGCGGUGUAGGCCCGGGCUGAUCUUAGCCACCAAAAAAAAAAAAAAAAGUGCAGACUCUCCCCAGUUCUUGCCGCUGGGCUCAUCUUAUUUAGGGCACAGUCUGUAGUUCCUGGGGAUGAUCUUCCCAAGCAGUAAUAUUGAUUUAAAUUCAAAUAAUGAUUUUUAUUUCACAAAACAGCAGCGGGGGAGCGUAGUGGAUAGAUCACUGGACUUGGAAUUAGGAAUACCUAUCUUCAUGAGUUGAAAACCAGUCUCAGACUCUCGAUCUGUGAAUCUGGGCAAGUCACAAACUUAUUUGUCUCAAUUCCUCAUCUAUAAAAAUGAACUGGAGAAGGAAAUGGUAAACUACCCCAUUAUCUUUGCCAAGAAAAACCCCCAAAAAUGGGGUCACGAAAAGUUCCCAUGAAUAUAACGAUUGAACAAUGUAAAGUUAUUUUUGACCUAGAAAGAACCCAAUGAAAUAGUUAAGACAACAGUAUCCCAUUUUACAAGAGAAGACACUGAUGUCUGUUACAGGGCUGGUGUAAAUCGGUCUUAAAAUACCCAUUUCAUGAAUCUCCAGACCAAUGUUUCCUCACUCAAACUACAAACAAGUCAGUAAAAUAUCUAAAUUCUCCACCUUGGACCUUUCUAUGCUGGGCAAUUCAUUGAUUUUUUUUAGCCAAAAGGAAUCUCACCUUUCAGCAAGUGGGAGAAGCAGUACACUAAAGUCUUCCAGUCUUUCAUUAUGGCAUGUAAAUAACUCCUGGGGCCUAGAAGGCCAUUGUGUAAACUGACUAGUGGCUAUACAAGAAAAGCUUCUAAACAAUCAACAAGCAUUUAUUAAACAGCUAUUAUGUGCCAGGCACUUAGCUAGGUGAUAAGGACACAAAGAGAAAAGUGAAAGUCUCUACCCAAAAGUUUACAAUCCAAAGGAUGAGGAACAUCUACUUACAAAGAAACAUACAAAAUAGAUUCAAAAGGAAGGAGACUGUGAAACUGGGGAAGCAUUAACAGUAGGAAGGAUAAGAAGAAUAAGGAAAAGCCAAAAGGAAGAGGUUUAGAAGAUAGAAGUUAACUAGUCCUUACCAUUCUGCCUUGUGACUGAUAUUUAGCAUCAAUUCUAAGACAAAAGGUAAGGGUUUAAAAAAAAAAGUUGUUGUUUUUUUUUUACACCAGCAGGGUAAAAGAUGAAUUGGAAUGUAGGAGUUGGCACAAGAGACCAAUUAGGUAAUUGAAAUUUGAGUCCAAGUGAGGGCAUCUGGCCAAAAAUGGAGCAAACAGAGACUGAUGUGAGAGAUGUGGAGGUAGAAACUAAAGAUCUGGUGUCUGAUUGAAAAUGUGUUGAUAGGGAGCAAAGAAUCAAAGAUAACACCAAAGUUGCAAACAUGGGUGAGAGAGGAUGGUGGUGCUCUCAACAAAAUGUCAGAAAUUUUUCAGAGAGGAUUUUGCAGGGGUAAAAGAUGAGUUUUGGAAUCUGUAAAUUUUAUUACUGUCAUCCAAUUAGAAAUAUACAAUAAAUAAGUUGUUUAAACUAGAUUGAGAUAAAGAAUACAUGGAUCAGUAUAUCACCUUGGAGCAAUCUACAUAAAGAUAAUAAAUAAUUAAAUCCAUUUGAAUUGAAGAGUUGACCUAGAAAAAAAGACAUGAAGAGAGACCUGAGGUACACUAACAUAGGAAAUAUGGAUGACAGGGUAGCAAAGGAAAAAGAAUUAAUGAUCAGACAGAUAAAACCAAUAGAAUAGUAUUAAUGGGGGGGGGGGGGAGGUUGCAUUCAGGAGAGAGAGUGGCCAAAAGGGUAAAAUUCAAUCAAAAAACCUCACUGAUAACAAUUGGAGAGAGCAGUUUCAAUUGAAUGAUUAGGUUGGAAAGAACUUGGAGACAGAAUGGAGAGCAUUUUCUAAGACUUUAGCUGAGAAAAGGAUAUAGAAUAGUUUGAAGGGAUGUUAGGGCUAGCAAUAUUUGGCCAUAUCUGUGAGCAACAGGGAUGGGAGCUAAUAAAUAAGAGACUGAAGAUUAGAAAGAAAAACUAUAAUUUUAGGUGCAAACUGCAGGAGAAAAGGAGACGAGUCCAUGUGGAAAAGUUCCCAGAGACUCAUUGAGACAAGACUUUGUCAUCUGAAAUUUAGACUACCUAAAUUUGAAGUGAUUUGUUACAGGAUGACUACAGGAUACAUUUUCCAGCCUAGCCAUUACAAUAAAGGGAGGCCAAAGUUUUUAGGUUGUAUCUAAAAACCUUGGAUUCAUGCUGAGGAAAUGAUUAUCAAAGUAUUAGUCAACAUUUAUUCUUUCAUUUCAGUACUUUCUGACCCCAAUUUGGGGGGGAUUUUCUUGGCAAAGGUACCAGAAAGGUUUGCCAUUUCCCUCUCAUUUUAUAGAUAAAGAAACUAAGGCAAAAAGGGUUAAGUGAUUUGCCCAAGGACAUACAGCUAGUAUCUAAGGCCAGAUUCAAACUCACGAAAAUGUCUUCCUGUCUCCAGGCCCAGCACUCUAUCCACUAUAUGAUCAAACAUUUAUUAAGCUAUUACAAUGGCAUAGGCUCUGUGCCCCAACCAAGGGAUUAUGUGAAGUAAUUCUUUUAGAGGGUUUGGAUCCCCGGCACCCUAGUGGCAAGGCAUAGGAGUCACAAAGUCAUGUGGCAUGUCUGAAGGCUGUUCUUAUCAGGGUGGGAGCCUGGAGCAUCAUUGUGGCAGCACAACAUGUUUCCUCUAGCAAGCAGGGGCCUCAUCCAUUCUCUUAACUAAUAAAUGCUUAUAAAUCUGGUAAUAAACCUUCACUUCAAUUUAUAACAAUACAAAUUUUAAGAAAAUGAUAGUCCCUGCCCUCAAGAAGCUCAUAUUCUACUGAAGACUCCAAGUAAAAAAACUGAAAGGAGGAAGAGAAAGAUUACCUAGAAGGGAAAUAACAAAAGGAGUCCAAAGGAGUGCAGUCUGGUGGAAAAUAAAGAGAUGGCUGUCUUGGGCAACAUCUUUAAAUGGAGGUUCUAGAAGGGACGCAGGAUACUUCUGAGCAGAGAGUUGGCCGAUAGCAGUGUGCUGGGCCUUUUGGCAUCUUAGCGUGGCGACAAGCUAUUGUCCAGUUCGGUGGAACUAUAAUAUAGGAUGUUCAGGAAGGACCGGUAUCUCUCAUAUGAGGAUUUGCCACGCCCCUUUCAAGGCUGCCUUCUUCCUUUGGUGUCCAUCUGCCAGACAGCUCUCACCUGUGGCUCCAAGAAACUAUAGAAUGCAAAGUGGCCACCCCACCAGUGAAGCAUUUCUGCAGAAGGACUAAACCAGGUUGAGGGUAACCAAGAAGCUUCAAAUCCUUUGGUGAGUUAGGGGGGAAUGUCUCUCCCAAGCAUGUGAAGACUUCACCAAUGGAAGGGGUGGAUGAGAUUGAUUUGUUCCAAUUGUCUCAAAGAUAGCAGAUCUAGGCAUUGUAGAGCACAAAGGUUGGGUUGUACCUCAGAGGUCAUCCACUGCAUCCCCAAAGUCCUCACCCAGUGAUGUCACUUUGUUCAUUUUUGAGUAUGAAGAACAACCACCAACUAUCGGAAGCACUGUAAUUUGAAAGGUUUCUCCCACCUAGUCCCAGCAUCUCAAUACAGCUCAACAAGCGUUUAUUAAAUGCCUAUUAUGCACUUUUUAAAAAACCCAUAUCUUGUUUUAAGAGUGAAUACUGUGGGGGCAGCUGGGUAGCUCAGUGGAUUGAGAGCCAGGACUAGAGACAGGAAGUCCUAGGUUCAAAUCUGGUCUCAGACACUUCCCAGAUGUGUGACCCUGGGCAAGUCACUUAAUCCCCAUUGCCUAGCUCUUACCACUCUUCUGCCUUGGAACCAAUACACAGUAUUGACUCCAAGACAGAAAGUGUUUAAAAAAAAAAAAAAGAGUGAAUACUGUGUAUUCGUUCCAAGGCAGAAGAGAAAUAAAGGAUAGGAAAUGGUGGUUAAUGACUUUGCAUAGGUUCACAUAGAUAGGAAAUAUCUGGGGCCAGAUUUGAACCCAUUUCUAGGCCUGGCUCUCAAUCCACUGAGCCAUCUAACUGCCCCAUGUCUUAGGAAUUACGUGACAUACUUUGGAUACAGAGAAAACUAAAUCCCUGCCUGAAGGAACUUAGUGUUCUACUAAAACAAAAAAUUAAGUUCCAUUAGAUUAGAACAAUACAUUAAAUCUUUACAACCUUCCUGUAUUUGGCAAAUUAAAAAGGCAUCAAAGAUUUGACAUCACAUGAGAACUUGCUGCUUCCAUUUAUCAUACCAAUGGAUGAGUCAUAUUUGAGUAUUCCCCUUAACUGAAACCACUUUGUUGAAUAUAUAUAUAUGUAUAUAUAAAUAAAACCAGGCCCUGAAGAGGCCAAGAUCUGUUGAAACACUUAAAGAGGCACCUGGGUAUUCUGGUAAUCUGUGCUGAAGCUGAGGGUGUUGUAUCUCCUAAACUUUGGGACUUCUGAACUGCAGAGGGUUAUACCAAUGGGGUAUUUGCACUCAAUUUGGCAUUAAUAUGGUCAGUACCCCAGAGCAAAGAGCACUAGUUUGCAUAAAGAAGGACAAACUGGCCACAGACAGAAAAAGAGGUCAGUGGGGUUGGACCCAUGGACAUAUUACCGCUGCAUUUCUAGCCUAUGCAAAAUAGGAAGACCCAGUCUUUAGGGGAGGAAAAAACCCUUAAGGGACCUCAGUAGACAUCUCAUCCAAACCAUAUCUUAGACACCCAUUUCCUCAACAACCUACCUGGCAAGUAGCCUUUGAAGAUUUCCAGGGUAUGGUAACCCACCAUCUCCAAAAGCAGUCUAUUUCCCUUCUGAAUUGCUCUAAUGUUUUGUUUUGCUUUUUUCCUUUAAAACUUUUAUUUCACACUUUGAUGUCCACCCAUUCCUUAGGUCAGCUCUCUGGAGCCAUGAAAACCAAUAAUAGUAAUAGUUAGCAUUUAAAUAGCACCUACAAGGUGCCAGGCAUGAUAUUAAAUGCUUUACAAGUAUCUCAUUUGAUCUUUACAGCACUGCUAGGAGGCAGAUGCUAUUAUUUCCAUUUUACCUUUGAAGAAAAGGAGACAAAUAGGUUAAAUAACUUGUUCAAGGUCAUACAACUAAUAAGCAUUUGAAGAAGAAUUUAAACUCAUGUCUUCCUGACUCCAAGCCCAGCAUUCAAUCCACUUCACCACCUAGUCAUCUCUAAUCAAAUUUCUUUCCCACAUCUUUGAAAUAUUUAUCAUACCCCUAAGUGUUCUCUAAGAUGAACACCCUGAAUUCCUUCAACCAAACUUCAUAUGGCAUGAUGAAGGUCCUUCAACUGUCUUCUUGGUGGCCAUACUCUGGACACUCCAGUACAACAUCUGAAAAGGAUGUUACUAAUUUUACAAUUUUGACUUUACCUGCCAUUUUAACCAUGUAAUAAUAGAUUGCCUACCUAUAGUAAAUUUCAAAAUGAUGGUUGCUACUAUAGAACAAAUACUUUCUCUCCUUUAAUUAAAAUGAUACUCAUCUCCUAAAAUCAAAAAUAAUAUGAAAUUAAUGGAUAGUCAGAAAUGUCAACUAUCAAAAAAGAUAAAUUCAUACCUUUUAAUAUGUUUAUUAAAGGGGGCAGCUGGGUGGCUCAGUGGAUUGAGUCAGGCCUAGAGACAGAAGCUAGAGACAGAAGGUCCUAGGUUUAAAUCUGGCCUCAGACACUUCCCAGCUGUGUGACCCUGGGCAAGUCACUUAACCCCCAUUGUCUAGCCCUUCCCACUCUUCUGCCUUAGAGCCAAUACACAGUAUUGACUCCAAGACAGAAGGUAAGGGUUUAAAAUAUAUAUAUUUAUAUUUAUUGAAUAAACUAAUGAGAUCACAAUUUAAAAAUUCAGUAUUUACACUCAGAAUGGCAGCUUCUUUAAAAAUGACCAAACAGGGGGCAGCUGGGUAGCUCAGUGAAUUGAGAGCCAGGCCUAGAGACAGGAGAUUCUAGGUUCAAAUCUGACCUCAGACACUUCCCAGCUGUGUGACCCUGGGCAAGUCACUUGACCCCCAUUGCCUA